AUGAACGCUGGCGGCGUGCCUAUACAUGCAAGUCGAGCGAACGGACGAGAAGCUUUCUUCUCUGAUGUUAGCGGCGGACGGGUGAGUAACCAGUGGAUAACCUACCUAUUAGACUGGGAUAACUUCGGGAAACCGGAGCUAAUACCGGAUAAUAUUUUGAACCGCAUGGUUCAAAAGUUAAAGACGGUUCUUCUUUUAAUUAUAAAUUGAUCCGCGCUGCAUUAGCUAGUUGGUAAGGUAACGGCUUACCAAGGCAACGAUGCAUAGCCGACCUGAGAGGGUGAUCGGCCACACUGGAACUGAGACACGGUCCAGACUCCUACGGGAGGCAGCAGUAGGGAAUCUUCCGCAAUGGGCGAAAGCCUGACGGAGCAACGCCGCGUGAGUGAUGAAGGUCUUCGGAUCGUAAAACUCUGUUAUUAGGGAAGAACAUAUGUGUAAGUAACUGUGCACAUCUUGACGGUACCUAAUCAGAAAGCCACGGCUAACUACGUG
rnacentral:rRNA from 1 species